CCUAACGAUGUUUCCCUUGCUGAACGGAGCAGAGAUGAGCAUGUUUAUCAGCCAUGCCGUGCCUGGUGGAACCGUCCUAUCUGCGCCUCACUACAUGAACAUUACUAUUAACUGUUGCCAGGAGAGCCAGAGAAGACAAAGAGCACCCACCACGUGGCACCAAUACUCUGCCAUCAACACUCCGCCUCUUCUCUCUCCUCAUCUGCAGAAGGAUUAUUUUUUCCCCCUUUGCUGCAUCUUGGACAGACCCCCAUACUGCAUUAGAACCCCACCCACCCACGCUGCUUUCUCUUUUCUGCCUUCCUGCUCCUGUUCCCCUGGGUACCAACAAUAGCUGUGGAUGGUUGUAGUCAACACAUUGCUUGAAUCUGAAUCCUGACUCUGGUUGUGUGAUGUUGCACCAGUUCCAUAACCUCUCUGAGCCUGUUUUCUCCCCUGGGAGAUAAAGGAUUUGCUAGUUCCCUCUUCAUGAGGUUGUUAUAAGCGUGAAAUGAGCUCUGAACAUGAAGACUCUCAUAUACAGCAAGAAUUUGUGGAACAAUGUUUUUUUCUUGUCACCAGUAUUCUCAUGGCUUUUUUAUCUUUUCUUGGUAAUUGGUCCAUAGUAAAAUUAUGAUAAUGAAGGAUAGCAAAGUCUAUAUAGUAGACAUAGUAUAUGUUCAAUAAACUCCAUGCAAGUGUCAUUUUGGGGGUGGGGUACUGGGAAUUGAAUCCAGAGACACUUUACCACUGAGCUACAUCUCCAGACUUUUUUAUUUUGGGAGAGUGUCUCACUAAGUUGCUAGGUCUGGCCUUGAAUUUGCAAUCCUUCUGCCUCAACCUCCUAACUUGCUGGGAUUACAGGUUUGCUCCACCACCAUGCCCGGCUCUAUAGGUAUCAUUUCAACUGGCCCCCAAACUCUGCUGAACAUAAGAAUCAGUGCUGGUUUGGAAAGCACAUCAGGAUCCUCCAGUGUUUUGGGGCUUUUGUUUUGAAAAGGCCCUUUUUACCAUUUUACUGCCCAUCGGAACAAAUAAAGACAAAUCAAUGGACAGAACAUCACUCCAACUUUCUCACCCCAGUUGAAGCCUUUUCCUGUGGAUCCAGAUAAAAAGUCUGUAGGAGACACUUCAUGCUGUAGGGUCAGUGUGGAGGUUACAUAAUACCCAGUAAGUUUGCCUUUAAGGUAAAUGUUUGAAGUCUUUCUCCCUUCAGUUUGAUACAAAGAGUAUUUUCCCAGCAGACUUUUCCUGAUGUCCCAAUUUCAUGUCCUUACUUUUCCACACUCUGUGUAAGAGAGCUCUUUCUGAAAUGUACAAGUUUGUGGAAGAAGUUACAAUACCACAGAACACAUGGUGUGUUGCCCAAGUGGACUUCACCUGGGCCCGGCCUCCUCCUGUCUAGACAGCCCAGCCCAGCUCUGGCCAUCCGUGACCUGCAGGGUGCAGGAGACAGGUCCAGAGGGCAGCUAAGCGGCCUGUCCAUUCACUGAGCUCUGAACUAAGUUCGGGUGACCCCAAACGCUGUCCACUGGUUUGUACACCCAUAGUACAAAGACGAGUUCCGUUCCUUUGUGCUGUGGAACAUUUGCCAGCUCUCAGUCACGUUGCAGGGGAUCCUGUGGCCCUGCAAUGAAAGGCCCUAUUGUGAUGACUGGUCAACAAGGCAGAUCUAAGUCCAUUCUGGGCAUCACAACUGGGAACCUCCCGGCUUUUUACGAGCUGAGAAGUGGACGCUUAGUAUUGUAUUAAAGUAAAUGGGAAGGAGGCAAUUCCGUUAAAAAUACCCCAGUAAAGAAAAGGAGAUACUUAUCUGCUCAUUGUCUCCGACUAGAAGCUUUUAAAACCACCUGAGAAAUGGGCUUAUUGCUUUCAUUGUUUCUUUCCUUCUUCUUUUUCCUCCUUCUCACUGACAUUUGUCCUCUUUUCCAAAACCUCCUCUCCUGGUGAUCCAGGCGACUACUGGGAAUUCUCCCUCCACCAUGUGGACAAACAAGCAGAUCAUUCAAAGUAUUCAGAUCACAGGGACAAAGACAUGGAAAUGCUUGGGAUUCAGAGUUCUGGC
rnacentral:lncRNA from 1 species